rnacentral:rRNA from 1 species
CCUACGGGAGGCAGCAGUGAGGAAUAUUGGUCAAUGGACGCAAGGCUGAACCAGCCAUGCCGCGUGCAGGAAGACGGCUCUAUGGGUUGUAAACUUCUUUUGUGCGAGGGUAAACGCAUAUACGCGUAUAUGUCUGCAAGUAUCGUACGAAUAAGGAUCGGCUAAUUCCGUGCCAGCAGCCGCGGUAAUACGGAGGGUUCGAGCGUUAUCCGGAUUUAUUGGGUUUAAAGGGUGCGUAGGCGGGCGGAUAAGUUAGAGGUGAAAUCCCGAGGCUCAACUUCGGAAUUGCGUCUGAUACUGGUCGGCUAGAGAGUAGUUGCGGUAGGCGGAAUGUAUGGUGUAGCGGUGAAAUGCUUAGAGAUCAUACAGAACACCGAUUGCGAAGGCAGCUUACCAAGCUACUUCUGACGUUGAGGCACGAAAGCGUGGGGAGCAAACAGGAUUAGAUACCCGUGUAGUC